AACGAGGCCGACCUGCGGCUGAGUUACCUGCGGAGGGAUCAUUAUAGGAAACAGUGAUUUCACAAGUUGCGGGGGGGCUUUAGGGGGGGGAUGGUGUCAUACUCUGCACUUUUUCUCUCUCUUGGGUUCCCUGCUUCUUCAAACAAAUUAUCGCAACUAGAAUAACUGGGGGGCUGACUUGGAGGGGACACACACACACAGGGAAAAAGUGCUUGCCUGAUAUCUGAGCUUCUUAUGAGG
rnacentral:misc_RNA from 1 species